rnacentral:rRNA from 1 species
AUGUUAGACACAAACCUUUCAAUCUUGUGCUGGAAUGUACGCGGGUUAAAUUGCCCGGAUCGUCGUGCUGCUGUCCACGAAACCGUUGCUUCUUCUUCCUGUCAACUUGUGUGCAUCCAAGAGUCGAAGCUACAAUCUAUUGACCUGUUCUUGGCUAUGUACCUCGGUGGUCAGCGUCUAAAGAGCUUCGCCCAAAGACCAGCUGAUGGCACAAAAGGCGGUAUUCUGCUGCUGUGGGAUGACUCCGCGGUCACGGUGUCAAAUGUGCAAAUUGGUGCCUACUUCCUCUCCGCGACGGUUGCCAUCAACAACUACGGCGACGACAAAUCUUUCAAGUUAACCACUGUGUAUGGCCAAACCCGUAGCAUCCACAAGGAGGCUUUCUACCUGGAGCUGAUCUCGGAAAAGCCUCCGCCUGGUACCAAAUGGCUAGUCAAUGGUGAUUUUAAUCAAAUCUACCGCGCCAGAGACAAAAACCGAGCCAAUGUGGAUCGUGGCCGCCUCGUGCGUUUCCGCAACGCCCUAAACAAUUGUGAGCUCAAGGAGAUUCACAUGCAAAACAGGAGAUUUACUUGGAGCAACGAACAAAGUAACCCGACGAUGAGCAAGCUAGAUAGCUUUUUUUGCAACGAAGAUUGGGAUUUAGAGUUUGCCUCCCACAUUCUGCACACCCUCUCCUCAUCACUUUCGGACCACUGCCCCCUGCUUGCUAAUGAUGUUGGCCCAAAGAAGCCUAAAUCCUUCCGGUUUGAAAACUUCUGGACAAAGAUGCCGGGAUUCCAACACGUCGUCUCCGAGGCAUGGAAUAUGAAUUCCGGUCAUGUCGAGCCUUAUCAACGGCUAUUCCACAAGCUAAAGAGAACAGGACAAAAGUUGCGCUCCUGGAGCAAGACCCUUUUUUCUAACUCCAGGGUCCAGUUGCACAUGGCUCUCAAGGUCAUCCUUCACCUUGACCUUGCUCAAGAACAGAGAGGCCUAAGCCCGGAGGAAAGGGAUCUUUGGGCAAGAUUAAAACGAAGGAUUGUUGGCUUGGCGGUGCUCGAAAAAUCCAGAAAAAGGCAAAACUCGAGGAUUACCAAUCUUAAAGAAGGAGAUGCCAACACCCGUUAUUUCCACCUCCGUGUCAAUCAUCGGAGGAGAAAAAAAAAUCUUAUUCAUCGCCUCAAACACAACCAGGGUUGGGUCACCUCGCACGAAGACAAAGAGAAGAUUGUUCACAGCCACUUUAAGAACAUUGCCAAAAAAGGCCCUUCUCGUAGCAUUGACGUCAAUUGGGGUUUGAUUCCAACCCCCAACUGUGAUCUACAGGGCUUGGACGAGGCAUUCACGGAGGAUGAGGUCAAAGUUGCUGUACUAGAACUUUCGGGUGACAAGGCGCCCGGACCGGAUGGCUUCACGGGCACUUUCUUCAAGGCAUGUUGGAACACAAUCAAGCCAGACAUCAUGCGCUGGUCAAUCAUUUCUCCAACCUACAGACCACUCACCUUCAUUGGUUGA